rnacentral:rRNA from 1 species
UGGCCGUAGCAUCUGCUCCCAACCCUUUGUGACCUUACCUAUUGUUGCUUCGGCGGAACCGCCCCGGCGCCUUCGGGCAACGGAAUCAGGCGCCCGCCGAAGAACCCAAACUCUUAUGUCUUUAGUGGUUUUCUCCUCUGAGUGACACAUAAACAAAUAAAUAAAAACUUUCAACAACGGAUCUCUUGGUUCUGGCAUCGAUGAAGAACGCAGCGAAAUGCGAUAAGUAAUGUGAAUUGCAGAAUUCAGUGAAUCAUCGAAUCUUUGAACGCACAUUGCGCCCGCCAGUAUUCUGGCGGGCAUGCCUGUUCGAGCGUCAUUUCAACCCUCAGGCCCCCAGUGCCUGGCGUUGGGGAUCGGCGUGGGCCGGGUCGUCCUCCGGGACGGUCCCGCGCCUGCCGGCCCCGAAAUUCAGUGGCGGUCUCGCUGUAGUCCCCCUCUGCGUAGUAGCACAACUCGCAUUGGAGCUCGGCGGUGGCCAUGCCGUAAAACACCCCACUUCUGAAAGUUGACCUCGGAUCAGGUAGGAAUACCCGCUGA